AGAACAACUUGAAACGGGUUAACAAACUCAUGUAAAAAGUUUGCCUAUAGGAAAUCCCGAAGACUCACAAGUUUUUCCGCGUGCUUGACUCUAGUUCAUAUAAGUUUCUCCUCGAUAGUUAAUGAUUGUCAUUUGUAUGAUAUUUUCCUCACUUUUCAUAGGUGAAAGUGGAAGAUGCAUCUCUUCUUGCAUUAGAACACGAAGGUCGUCGAGCAUUGUUAGCAGAACCUAAAGUCGACAUGUUACGAUAGAUGGUCUCUUGCGUUUUGGUGAGAGGAAUGCAGGAAUAUGCUUGAACAUUGAAGAUUUCUUGUAGAUAUGGCUUUGGGCUCACCUGCUUUCCUCUUGGUAUGUGAGAUGCAGUAUUUGGCAUUCUUAUAAGUUGAUCUAAUACGAUCGGGUGAUUUUGAGCUUACUCAGUCAAAUUUUUAUUACACAUUGCUUGCUUGUUCACGUAACUAAACAACCAUUGAUACAUUGAAGUGUUUGCUUGUAGUUCAUUAGGGAUCUCAAGAUCGAGCUGAGACAGGCAAUGGUGACCCAAAGUAUUUGUAUUCUCAAAUUGAAAUGAGACAACUUAGUCAAGACUGCAAAUGAGUUGAUGCUAUAACCUUGAAAACGAGGGUCAACCUUUACCUUAUUUGCUCGUUCUUAAACAAACCUGAAAUUGGUGCAUUACAUGAAUAAUGAUAUUUGAUCAAUUUUUUGCUAGGAACAACUUACAAGAGAACAAUAACUUGGACUCAUGUGUGUUAGAGGCAAGUGAAUUUUACAGGUUGUAAAUUGAAAAACUCAUCGAUUGGUCAUUCUGCGUUGAAUAAUGUAAGUGUUUGUUUCCUUGUUUAACAAUGCAUUGGCAGUUUAACUGUUGUUCCUCACAGUCGGCUUCCUCAAAACCUCAAUUGGGAGCUACUAUUCUAAGUAUCUCACUAAAUGAUAGAAAGGUAUGAAGUUGGGCUGAAAUUUGUUCUCUCAGUGAUACAUGUGAUGAUUUAGUAAUCUAGUUCUAAUUCUGUUAAUGCAUUAGCAAUUAGCUCAAACGAAUUGAUUUAUUUUCUUGCUUGUGUAAUCUAAUAGUCAGGAUAAUUGCAUAAUAUCAAUGCAUAUAGAUUCAGAGUGCUCAACAACCCAAGAUGUAGCCUCACGCACUCUGAAUUAGGUUUGUCUAUACUCCCAUCAUAUCAUUUUAACCAUUUAAUUGAUUACCUUAGACCUCUUGAGCAUAUAAGGAGGAUGCGAGAGACUAAAGCACAAUCUUGAAAUUUCACGGAUUACCAAGAUUUGGGCAUUGCCGCAUAUUUUUGUAGAUACUAAAGGCUUAGGCUUAGGCUUCCCAUUUUAUUGAUGCAUUGAGUGUUUCCUACAUAACUCCGCCUAUGUCUUACAUGGCCGGUCCCAAGCCCGGAUAAAGGAGGAGGGGGAGGGCGUCAGGUAGUCGACAGCCGGCACUCCAUGAUCACGUCGAAUCCUUAUGAAAAUGAAUCCAGAACAAAAUCGCGCUAAAGCUAGGGCGUCACCCGUAAGUGGCGCGCUGUGUGGCCCGAGCACAGUGAUAAGUGAGCAAGGGUCGCUGUAUCUCCAUCGGCACCCGGAUGCAGUGUUAAAUGAGCAAGGGGGCCAUAGAAACUUCUUUUCGAACGACUCCACUCAAAGUUGUUUGGGAGCAUAUGCUCCUAUCAACUUUACCCGGGACACACAAAAGAAGUACUUUGAUCCUAUUAGACGGGGGAGGGUGAAGAAGCUAGGACAGAAGGGUAGAGUUCAAGAGAGCAAAAUGCGUUUAGGAACGUGGAAUAUAGGAACCUUAACGGGAAAAUCUAUGGAAGUAGUGGAAGUUAUGGUGAGGAGAAGGAUAAAUAUUAUGUGCCUACAAGAAACUAAGUGGGUUGGUAGUAAGGCAAAGGAUCUAGAAAACUCAGGGUUUAAACUUUGGUAUUCGGGCACAAAUAGAACGAGAAACGGUGUUGGCAUCAUCGUGGACAAGACCUUGGUACAAGAUGUUGUAGAUGUCAAGAGGGUAGGAGAUAGAAUCAUGGCAAUCAAGAUUGUAAUAGGACAAGAACUUAUCAAUGUGAUUAGUGCGUACGCACCUCAAGUAGGGUUGGAUACGAGUUCGAAGGAGAAAUUUUGAUCAAGAUUGUAAUAGGACAAGAACUUAUCAAUGUGAUUAGUGCGUACGCACCUCAAGUAGGGUUGGAUACGAGUUCGAAGGAGAAAUUUUGGGAAGAUCUUGGAGACUUGGUGCAAGGAAUUGCUCAGACGGAGAAGUUAUUUAUAGGAGGAGAUUUAAAUGGACACGUGGGCAGGGAGACAGGCAACUAUGGAGGUUUUCAUGGUGGCCAUGGUUUUGGGGAGAGAAACGAGGAUGGGGAAGCUAUCUUGGAUUUUGCAAUGGCAUAUGAUCUCUUCUUAGCCAACACCUUCUUUAAGAAGAGAGAAGAACAUGUGAUCACCUACAAGAGUGGGUCGUCAAAAACACAAAUAGAUUUUCUUCUAAUGAGGAAAGGGGAUCGUAUAACUUGUAAGGAUUGCAAAGUUAUACCAGGAGAGAGCGUGGCUAAUCAACAUCGCUUGUUGGUGAUGGAUGUACAUAUCAAAAGAGUAAGACAAAAGAACAAGACUUGGAAGUGCCCAAGGACUAGAUGGUGGAAUCUAAAAGAAGAAAAACAAGCCAUUUUCAAAGAGAAGGUAAUCACCCAAUGUGUGUGGGAUAGAGAGGGGGAAGCUAGCCAAAUGUGGGAUUCCAUGGCUAGUUGUAUCCGAAAAGUAGCAAAAGAGGUAUUAGGAGAGUCCAAGGGCUUUGCCCCACACCAAAAGGAAUCUUGGUGGUGGAAUGAGGAGGUACAAACAAAGGUGAAGGCUAAGAAGGAAUGUUGUAAAGCCUUAUACAAGGAGAGGACCGAUGAAAAUGGUGAAAGGUAUAGAAAAGCGAAGCAAGAGGCGAAGAAAGCUGUCAGAGAAGCUAAGUUAGCGGCUUACGACGAUAUGUAUAAACGACUAGAUACCAAAGAAGGAGAGUUGGAUAUCUAUAAACUAGCUAGAGCAAGGGAAAAGAAGACAAGGGACCUAAACCAAGUGAGGUGCAUCAAGGAUGAGGAUGGAAAGGUUCUUGCUACAGAGAACGCGGUUAAAGACAGAUGGAGAGGUUAUUUUCAUAAUCUUUUCAAUGAAGGACAUGAAAUGAGUGCUUCUUUAGGGGAGUUGAGUAACUCAGAAGAGUGUAGAAACUACUCUUUUUAUCGUCGAAUCCGGAAGGAAGAAGUGGUUGUAGCUUUGAAGAAGAUGAAGCAUAAGAAAAGCAAUAGGCCCAGACGAUAUACCAAUCGAAGUGUGGAAAGUUUUGGGAGAGACAGGUAUAACAUGGCUCACUGACCUUUUCAAUAGGAUUUUGAAAACGAAGAAGAUGCCAAAUGAGUGGCGAACGAGCACUUUGGUGCCUAUCUACAAGAAUAAGGGCGACGUACAAAAUUGCAUGAACUAUAGGGGUAUUAAGCUAAUGAGUCAUACAAUGAAGCUCUGGGAGAGAGUCAUUGAGCAUAGAUUGAGGCAAGAGACACGGGUUUCGGACAACCAAUUCGGGUUCAUGCCAGGGCGCUCAACCAUGGAGGCAAUCUAUCUCUUACGAAGAUUGAUGGAAAGAUAUAGAGAUGGGAAAAAGGAUUUACACAUGGUCUUUAUAGAUUUGGAAAAAGCGUAUGAUAGGGUCCCAAGAGACAUUCUUUGGAGGAUUUUAGAGAAGAAAGGAGUACGAGUAGCAUAUAUCCAAGCUAUAAAGGAUAUGUAUGAAGGAGCAAAGACUGCCGUAAGAACUCAUGAAGGACAAACCGAAAGCUUUCCCAUAACUGUAGGAUUACAUCAAGGCUCAUCCUUAAGUCCUUACCUUUUUGCGUUGGUAAUGGAUGAGUUAACAGGACAUAUUCAAGAUGAUAUUCCUUGGUGUAUGCUUUUCGCAGACGAUAUAGUGUUGAUAGAUGAAACUCAGGAAGGGGUAAAUGCAAAGCUUAACCUUUGGAGAGAAGUGUUGGAAUCUAAAGGUCUUCGCCUAAGCCGAUCAAAGACAGAAUAUAUGGAGUGCAAGUUCAGUGCAAAUGGAGGCCAAAACGAGUUAGGGGUGAGGAUCGGAGAUCAAGAAAUACCAAAGAGCGACCGUUUUCGUUACCUAGGAUCUAUCUUGCAAAAGAACGGAGAAUUAGAUGGAGAUCUCAACCAUAGAAUACAAGCUGGAUGGAUGAAGUGGAAGAGUGCAUCCGGCGUGUUGUGUGACCGCCGUAUGCCACUGAAGCUCAAGGGAAAAUUUUAUAGGACGGCAAUAAGGCCGGCGAUGCUGUAUGGCACAGAAUGUUGGGCGGUGAAACAUCAACACGUACACAAAAUGGGUGUAGCGGAGAUGAGGAUGCUUCGUUGGAUGUGUGGGCACACGAGAAAGGAUAAGAUUAGGAAUGAGGAUAUCCGGGGUAAAGUAGGAGUAGCCGAAAUUGAAGGAAAGAUGAGAGAAAAUCGGUUACGGUGGUUUGGACAUGUGCAAAGAAGGCCUACUGACGCUCCGAUUAGAAGAUGCGACUAUGGGACAGAGGUUCAGGGCCGAAGGGGUAGAGGAAGACCUAGGAAAACUUUGGAAGAGACUCUAAGAAAAGACUUAGAGUACUUGGAUCUAACGAAGGACAUGACACAGGAUCGAGCACAAUGGCGUUCUAAGAUUCAUAUAGCCGAUCCCACUCAGUGACUUGGAUUUUCCAAGUCUCCAACCGAGAAGUUUUCCUCACUCGGGAAAUUAAGGGAACACUACCCCAACCUACAUGCUCCACUCAGAAAGCUUCAACAUACAAGCUUCAACAAAAGAAAAUUCAAAGAACUUAGCGAAGAAGGCUUUGGUGUAUUUAACACAAUACGUUGAAAUGAAGGAAAGCUUAUUUAUUGAUAUCCCCGAUAAGCUACAAAUAUGUACAUAUACAUGAGUCAAAAUAAACACACAAGAGGGAGCCUUCACAAAGGUUGCUUAGGAGAAGUCUCAGCAGUCGGUAGAGCCCCAGAAAGAGAAGGCACCGGAGGGGGAUCAUUUGGAGCCUCAGUACUGGACAGAACCCUAGAAGGAGGAGGCAUCAGAGGUUGAUCAUUUGGAGCUUCAUUACGCGGUACAGCCCCAGAAGACGAAGGCAAUAAAUGCCUUUGGAACAAACCCACAAAUCUCUGAUGAUCAAGUAAAACCUGACCAUCAGUUUCCUUCAUCUGGUCAAGCUUCCUCUUCAUGUUUGUAGCAUAGUCAUGUGCGAGCCGGUGCAACUGUUUAUUCUCAUGCUUGAGCCCUCUAAUCUCCUGUUUGAGACUCAUCACUUCAGCCGCCAAUGAUUCAACUUGGCGGGUUCGAGCAAAUAGGCGUUGGGCCAUAUUAGACACAGAACCUGCACACUGAACACUGAGAGCCAGCGAAUCCUUAACAGCUAACUCAUCAGACCGUUUGGAAAGUAGUCUGUUAUCUUUGGGAGUGAGAAGGUUCCUGGCCACCACCGCAGCGGUCAUAUCAUUCUUCAUCACGGAAUCCCCAACGGUAAGAGGACCAGUAGGGGAGACGAAGGAUGGGCGCCAUAUGUUGUCUGGAGAAGGCGGGGCUGCCUCUUCAACAAGGUUCAAGUCAAAACGACGGUCGGAGGGGCCAGACAUUUUCAAAGGUGUUGAAGAGAGAAGAGGUCGGACAAAUCAAGAUCUUAGAAGUGCAAGAAUGAAGCUUCUACUGGUGGAGAUUCAAGUGUGCUUUGGAACUUAAUGCCAGCCCCUAUAAAAAUCUGCACUCGACGGAGCUUCAGAAAUCGAAGAGGCGCCUGCUCAGAAAUCGAAGAGGCGUUUGCUUUCUCAAAAGCUGGGCUGCUUAGAGAUCACGAGGGUUGAUCUCAGAAAUCGAAGAGGCGUUUGCUUUCUCAAAAGUUGGGCUGCUCAAAGACCACGAAGGCCGAUCUCAGAAAUCGAAGAGGCGCUCGCUUUCUCAAAAGCUGGGCUCCCAGAGACCACGAGGGCCGAUCUCAGAAAUCGAAGAGGCACCUACUUUUCCAGCCUUGUCAGCACCUGUCACACACGCACACUCAGCUUUGCGGAAAUUAUGGGCAUUCUGUCAAAGACUUCUGGGGAAGUAGAAAACACAUGAAUCUUACUGUUCAAUCACCCACUUCCCACACGCAACAAUAGCUCAUGGGUACCACAGAUAACUUUGCCAAAGUUCUCUGCCAAAGUUGAGCACGUGAAGCUUGCAGCUCCCACUACAUCGCUCUGACCAAGAAGGGUAAAAGAAUAGCAAAGAAACAGCACUAACAAAGUUUAGACCCAUAAAUUUUGAAGGUCUAGCUACCAUAUUAUUACCCACAAGGGUAAAGGAACAGUACCACUGCUGGAUAAUUGGAAAGUCCCUGUGUGUCAACCUCUGUGCUUCGUGGCAAGGUAGACUAGCAAACAUGCCCAACCUUUACUCACAUUCGAGAAAACACUCCCAAUAAGAUUGCUUGCUCCAAAAUCGAAGAGGCACCGUCCUCCGAAUCUCGAGAGCCAGACUCCCAACAUGACUACUUUCUUAAAAAUCGAAGAGAGGGUAAAGGAACAGUACCAUUGCUGGAUAAUUGGAAAGUCCCUGUGUGUCAACCUCUGUGCUUCGUGGCAAGGUAGACUAGCAAACAUGCCCAACCUUUACUCACAUUCGAGAAAACACUCCCAACAAGAUUGCUUGCUCCAAAAUCGAAGAGGCACCGCCCUCCGAAUCUCGAGAGCCAGACUCCCAACAUGAUUACUUUCUCAAAAAUCGAAGAGACACUGCUCCCCGAAUCUCGAGAGCCAGACCCCCAGCAUGAUUGCUUUCUCAAAAAUCGAUGAGGCAUCGUUCUCCGAAUCAAUCGAAGAGGCGCUCGCUUUCUCAAAAGCUGGGCUGCUCAGAGACCACGAGGGCCGAUCUCAGAAAUCGAAGAGGCACCUACUUUUCUAGCCUUGUCAGCACCUGUCACACGCACACUCAGCUUUGCAGAAAUUAUGGGCAUUCUGUCGAAGACUUCUGGUGAAGUAGAAAGCACAUGAAUCUUACUGUUCAAUCACCCACUUCCCACACGCAACAAUAGCUCAUGGGUACCACAGAUAACUUUGCCAAAGUUCUCUGCCAAAGUUGAGCACGUGAAGCUUGCAGCUCCCACUACAUCGCUCUGACCAAGAAAGGUAAAAGAAUAGCAAAGAAACAGCACUAACAAAGUUUAGACACAUAAAUUUUGAAGGUCUAGCUACCAUAUUAUUACCCACAAGGGUAAAGGAACAGUACCACUGCUGGAUAAUUGGAAAGUCCCUGUGUGUCAACCUCUGUGCUUCGUGGCAAGGUAGACUAGCAAACAUGCCCAACCUUUACUCACAUUCGAGAAAACACUCCCAACAAGAUUGCUUGCUCCAAAAUCGAAGAGGCACCGUCCUCCGAAUCUCGAGAGCCAGACUCCCAACAUGACUACUUUCUCAAAAUCGAAGAGAGGGUAAAGGAACAGUACCAUUGCUGGAUAAUUGGAAAGUCCCUGUGUGUCAACCUUUGUGCUUCGUGGCAAGGUAGACUAGCAAACAUGCCCAACCUUUACUCACAUUCGAGACAACACUCCCAACAAGAUUGCUUGCUCCAAAAUCGAAGAGGCACCGCCCUCCGAAUCUCGAGAGCCAGACUCCCAACAUGAUUACUUCCUCAAAAAUCGAAGAGACACUGCUCUCCGAAUCUCGAGAGUCAGACCCCCAGCAUGAUUGCUUUCUCAAAAAUCGAAGAGGCAUCGUUCUCCGAAUCUCGAGAGCCAGAUACCACAGACCACUUUUUCAAAGUGCUCUGACAGAGUUAAAACAUGUGAAACUGGCAGCUCCCACUACCGUGCUAUGACCAAGCAGGGUAAAGGAAUAGCAUUACUACUUGUUGUUAGGGAGACUCCUAUAUAUGUCGACCUCCAUCCCCAACGGACAGGCAGACCUGCAAAAAUGCUCAACCCUUCAUCAUAUCUGAGAGGGCACUCCCAACGAAGCCUUUCGAAAUAUUCAGCUUUCUUUCCCCCCGAUAAUACCUCUGCAAACAAGCUAUACUAGAGCAAGAAUAUCUCAUAUCAUCAGGGUUAAAAGCAAGAGUAUCCCAUAUCAUGCUUUUUCCCUGUCUUUUUUCUUUUGGCCUUGUUUUUACCUGCAAGACAAGGAGAAAGAGAGCAAUCAGUCAGCACUUGGAAUCAAGCUUCCAGCCAGGAACUGACUGCCUGGAACCCCUUACCUGAUUACUUACCUGGCAUUGCUCUCGAGUACUCAUCUUCAACAUCUUAUGUUUCCAGGGAAGAUUCCGCAUCUGCUUGAGGAACAGAUAGGGCAAGUGCGAAGGAUACAAGGAAGCAUGUGGAGACAAGCGUAACAGCACACGUGCCGAUACAUCCAUUACUCUGUCAAAAGCAAAAGUAUCCCAUAUCAGCAGGGUGGAACGUACUCUAGAUUUGAUGGACUUGUUUUGACCCUCAAAUUCUUCAGUCGGCCUUAUACUCUGGAGGAAACCAGAAAACCCUCCAGCUCAGUUCAAGAAUAAGCCUGUGGAAAGUUACUUCUUCAAAAGCAAAAGUAUCUCAUAUCAUCUCUUCUCAUUUUUCUUCUCUUUAUCCUUCAUGCUGCUGCAAGAUGGGGAGAAGGUGAACAAUCAGUCGGAGCUCUGAUUGCUUACCUUGUCUGUCACCUCUUUCAGCAGACCCCCUAGCUCGGCGACUUGGGGGACUCCUACUACAUGGUUUGUAUCGCGCUUGACCAAGCCUGAAACUACAAGUAAGCUUCAAGUGAAAUUGAUACAUUACCUUGUGCAUCUCCACCAGUUAAAGAUACCACCCCUGGAUGGAGGAAGAGUACUUCCAGAGAAGAUGCCACAUCUACCUAUGAGACAGAUAAGGCAAGUCAAGACGACACCACACUCCGAUACUUAGAAGUUUCGUGAUUACGAGAUCAUUCUCCCACAAUAUUUCCUAAUGUCAUUUGUACUAAAUCAUUCACUUGUACUCACUAAAGGAGAGCUUGAACCUAUGUACUUGUGUAAACCCUUCACAAUUAAUGAGAACUCUUCUAUUCCGUGGACGUAGCCAAUCUGGGUGAACCACGUACAUCUUGUGUUUGCUUUCCUAUCUCUAUCCAUUUAUAUACUUAUCCACACUAAUGACCGGAGCAAUCUAGCGAAGAUCACAAAAAGCGACCGUUUUCGCUACCUAGGAUCUAUCUUGCAAGAGAACGGAGAAUUAGAUGGAGAUCUCAACCAUAGAAUACGAGCUGGAUGGAAAGAGUGCAUCCGGCGUGUUGUGUGACCGUCGUAGGCCACUGAAGCUCAAGGGAAAAUUUUAUAGGACGGCAAUAAGGCCAGCGAUGUUGUAUGGCACAGAAUGUUGGGUGGUGAAGCAUCAACACGUACACAAAAUGGGUGUAGCGGAGAUGAGGAUGCUUCGUGGGAUGUGUGGGCACACGAGAAAGGAUAAGAUUGGGAAUGAGGAUAUCCGAGGUAAAGUAGGAGUAGCCGAAAUUGUAGGAAAGAUGAGAGAAAAUCGGCUCUGGUGAUUUGGACAUGUGCAAAGAAGGCCGACUGACGCUCCGGUUCGAAGAUGUGACUACGGGACAGAGGUUCAGGGCCGAAGGGGUAGAGGAAGACCUAGGAAAACUUUGGAAGUGACUCUAAGAAAAGACUUAGAGUACUUGGAUCUAACGGAGGACAUGACACAAAACCGAGCGCAAUGGCGUUCUAGGAUUCAUAUAGCCGACCCCACUUAGUGGGAAAAGGCUUUGUUGUUGUUGUUGUUGUUGUUGUUGUUGUUGUUGUUGUUGUUGUUGUAUUGAGUGUUUCCUACAUACAUUCUCCAUUUAUAUAUUCAUAACAAAGAAGAACAUCAUAAAUAGUUGGUUAAUUAUUUUGUUAUUAAGUUUUGUAUUUUUUGACAUUUGAACGAGGUUAGAAAUGUAUGCAUUUUUUAUUAAGUUCCGUCACCAAAACUCAGGGCCUUCGUUUCCCAGUGGCAUUUUUUAUCAUGUGGUACUUUCAUGCAUUUUGUUUAUCCUCAUAAAAUAAUACAUUGUCUCCAUGAAAACUAAUUUAUCAAUUGUGUCAAUAAAUUAGAGGCAAUACAACCCACUAUGAUGCAGUGGUGAAUUCAGCAACAUCUGGAGUACUUGCAGCCAGAUUGAAAUCAGAUCGGUGCGAAACGAUGCCUUGGAAAGACAGUGAAGGUAGAGCUGAAUGGAACGAGGGUCCCUGUAAAGUUAUUUCUUGAUUAUGUUGACCCUACUUACAAUAUGAUCAAUUAUUAUCACAAUAUGUUUGUUGAUUAAGAUCAAGAUGCUUAACUAUUAUUAUUAUUGUUCUUUUAUUUUCUUCAAACAAUAUGUUGUCUAAAUUGUAAAUUCAAUGGAUUCAUAACUUUUUUUUCAUCAGCAAUGUCCAAUUUUGUUGUUUCUUCUUUUCCUUUAUUUUAAACUCAAUCAUUCAAUUUCAAAUGAAGCAACCAUAUUUUACUUUUGUAUAAUAAAGGCAUGAGGUUUACAUAGAAGGAAUGUUGAGAAUCGAACCACUUAAGCUACAAGUCAAUUUAUGUGAGCAAAUUAUGAUUAACGAUAACACGGAGUGUGAUUAACAAUGAUGGUAGAACACUAUGUAAUCAAUAUAAAAAUAUUUAUGAAACCGAACCAAAAUAAUCCAUACUAUUUAUGGAAGAGAGCAAAACAAACAUUAUUUAUUGAACUACAACAAAAUAACGCACACUAUUUCUGAAGUGAACCACUAUUUCUUGAACUACAAACAAAAUAACCCACACUAUUUCUGAAGUGAACCACUAUUUUUUGAACUACAACAAAAUAACCCACAGGUUGUAAACAGUGGGUAUGUUUGCCCACAUGUAUACAGUAAAGAUUCAUAUGCUAAAUAGUGAAGUUUUUGUAAGUUUUCAAGGUAGUUGCUCUAUAAAUAUGGCACUACGAGUGUUCAAACACACGGAUACAAAAGCAAUAAGAGAAGAAAGAUAAGUUAGAAUAUUUUCUGCAUUCUCCUAUUUCUCUUUUACCUACAAUCAUUCUGUUAUAGUUAAUAAACAAAACAGUGUGAUAUAUUACACCCGCUUAGAUAUCGCUCUUAGUAAAGGUUAUUUCUCUAACUUUUACCUAUUUAUAACACGUUAUCAACACGGCUCUCUAACCCUAAAACAUUUCUCAUUUCUCUUGGCCGAAAGAAAAAAAGUUGUUUCCUUCAAGGAUUUUACUAUUCUUCUUCUUCCCCUGCCUCACCUGUUGGAUAUACCCUCGUGAAGAAUUGUUCGCACCAUGCCUGCUUUUAGUUCUCAACAUAACAGUUACUUAUAUCUUUGAUUUCUUGUUUGGUGCAGUUCCUAAUUUCUAACCCAAUGUUUAUUUAUCUUUGUUGCGAUCAAAGAUGAUGCGGUAUCAUCGCCCAUCUUGGACUGCAAAUUUAAUUUUACUGCAAAUUUUAGGUGGAGCGGUAUAAUCGUCCACCCUACCCUGCAUAUUUAAAUUUGUCUGCUCUACAUAUUUAAAUUUCUACUGCUUGAGUGGUGCGGAACAAUCGCCCAUCAUAUACUAUUCAAUGAGAAUGGUACGGUACAAUCGCCCUCCUCAUUCAUCAUGUAAAUCUUAAGCCUAAAGUUUCGAGUGCUUAUCAUUUUGGCCUGAAGAUCAAAAUGAAAAAUUUGUAAGAACCAAAAGUUCUAACAAUAUAUUCCUCCAGAAUACACAUUAUUGCAAGUUCUUACACACCUCAAUUUUCUUUCAGAAAAGAAAAUGGCGAACUUGGCAAAAUUUGAUUUUGUUGCCCUGGAUAUUACUAGGAAGAAUUACCUUACCUGGGUAAUGGAUGCCAAGAUUCAUUUGGAGGCAACGAAUCUUGGAAAAACUAUUAAGGAGGAUAAUGGUGUAUCCUCUCAAGAUCGGGCAAAGGUCAUGAUCUUUAUUCCUCGCCACCUUGAUGAGGGACUGAAGAACGAGUACCUCACGGUUGAAGAUCCACUAACCCUCUGGAAGGCACUGAAAAAUAGAUACAAUCACCAGAAAAUGGUGAUUCUACCGAAGGCUCGUUAUGAGUGGACUCAUCUAAGGAUCUAGGAUUUUAAGAUAGCGGCUGAGUACAAUUCUGCUAUGUUCAGAAUUACCUCCCAGUUGAAGCUCUGUGGAGAAACCAUUACUGAGGAAGACAUGCUGGAACAUAUUUUUAGCACUUUUCAUGCCUCCAACGUGCUCAUGCAGCAACAGUAUAGAGAGCGAUGCUUGACUUAGUACAACCAGUUGAUAUCUGUGUUCCUUGUAGCUGAGCAAAACAAUGAGCUUUUGAUGAAGAAUCAUCAGUCCUGGCUUACUGGAUCAGCAUCAUUCCCAGAAGUGAAUGUUGCUUCCCAUGAAGGGAAUACCACAUCCUCUCAUAACAAUAAUUACAAACGAGGACGUGGCCACAAGCGAGGUCGAAAGGGCAAGAACCAUGGUGUCCAGUUUCACAACUAGGUUCCAAGGCAUAAUAUAGACCCGAGCUUUAAAAAUGCAAAUCGCUAGAAAGGCAAAGCUCAUAUGAACACUCCUAGAAAUCUUGAAGGAGUUUUCCAUAGGUAUGGUGGCAAUGGGCACUGGGCAUGUACAUGUCGUACCCCAAAACAUCUGGUGGAUCUGUAUCAAGCCUCCCUCAAGGAGAAGGGUGUCGAAACCAAUUUCCUCGACCAGGCUAAACAGAUGGAUAUACCUGAUCCAGUGUUCGAUUUAUCAGGACAAUUGAACACAACCCACCUGGAUGUUUCAUACUUCAUUAUUGAAAGAGGGAAUGAAGUGUUUGGGUCCGAUUAAAUCAUUUAUGUUUGAUGUACUCUUGUUAUUUGCACUAGUGAUUUAAUGCUUGAACUUUCAAUUCAAUAAAAGUAGUAUUCCAAUAUGAAUAAACUGUUUUUAAUUGUAAUUUCCAUUACUCAGAGAUCAUGGAUAAAAAUUAUGGUUAUUCUCAAAACAAGAGCAAUAGUGGAGAUUUUUGUCUUGCAGACAGCGCAACUACGUAUACAAUACUUCGACAUCGAAAGUAUUUCUCAAACUUGAUACUUGCAAAAGUAAAGGUAACAACAAUAUCGUUGUACGCUACUCGAUCCAUUCAAAAUUUGUUGAGUUUUAAAGACAUACGUCUAAAUGGAUACCACAUUGAAACAAAAAAUGCAGAAAAUGUGGAAUAUCUAUGCAUUACCUCCAAUGAUACCCAGAAGCGUAUAUUGGAGAAGUUGUAUGGUUUAUCGAGUGAAUUGUAUUAUACAUAUAUAAAGACAAUUGAGGCAUAUACUAUCAUGAACCAGAAGUUCAUUGAUUCAAAUUUAUAUGCUUUGGCAUGACCAUCUGGGUCAUCCAGGAUCUACCAUGAUGCGUAGAAUCAUUACCAACUCUAAUGGACAUCUAUUAUUGAGCAGACACAUUGAUGUCUUAAAUGAUAACCCUUGCAAGGCUUGUUCCCAAGGGAAGUUGGUAAUUAGACCAUCACAACUACAGGUUGAUGCUAAAUCCCCAUCAUUUUUGCAAAAAAUUCAAGAGGAUGUCUGUGGGCCUAUUCAACCACCUUGUGGACCAUUUCGAUAUUUUUUGGUUUUGGUUGAUGCAACUACCCGAUGGCCACAUGUUUGCCUAUUGUCUACUCAAAAUGUAGCGUUUGCAAGAUUUCUUGCUCAGAUAAUUAAGUUGCGAGCACAAUUCCCAGAUUAUCCUAUUAAGUCAAUCCGACUUGAUAACGUUUGUGAAUUUACAUCUCAAACCCUUGAUGAUUACUGCAUGACACUGGGCAUUGAUGUUGAACACUCUAUUCCUCGUGUCCAUACUCAAAAUGGCUUAGCAGAGGCAUUUAUCAAGCGGCUUCAAUUAAUAGCUCGCACUCUACUCAUGAAAACAAAAUUGCCAGUCUUUACAUGGGGACAUGCCAUUUUACAUGUUGCAUCAUUGGUUCGGUUAAGACCUAUAGCCAACCACCAAUACUUAUCAAUACAACUCGUGUUUGGGCAUCAGCCAAACAUUUCACAUUUACGGGUUUUUGGUUGUGUUGUUUAUGUGCCUAUUGCACCGCCACAACGCACUAGAAUAGAACCUCAGCGCAGACUGGGAAUUUAUGUGGGUUUUGAUUCACCAUCUAUCAUUAGAUAUUUGGAACCCUUAACAGGUGAUAUGUUUACAGCUCGUUUUGCUGAUUGUCACUUUGUUGAGACAGUCUUCCCGUUGUUAGAGGGAGAAAAGACUGUUCCAGAAGAACGGCAAGAGCUGACAUGGGUUGUUCCCACUUUAUCUCAUUUUGAUCCACGAAGCACUCAAUGUGAAGAUGAAGUGAAAAGGAUUGUUCAUCUUCAAAGUAUUGUUAAUCAAAUGCCAGAUGCAUUUAAUGAUGCUUCGAAAGUGACAAAGUCACAUUCACCAGCUGCAAAUACACCUGUAAGAAUUGAUGUCGCUGUUGGACAAAAUAAAGUGGUAGUGAAUGAUUCAUCUGGUGCACGCCUAAAGCGUGGUAGACCACCAGAUUCAAAAGAUUUAACCCCUCGAAAGGGAAAGAUGAGGGCACAACUGAAUCCAUAUGAAAUCAUUCAUGAAAAGAAAGCGAAUGAUAAAUCCACAAUUCAUGAUUCUAAAUUUUCUGAAAAAGAAAAUGUCCUUGAUGAGACAUAUGUCCCUGAAGAGACAGAAGUACAUGAAAGUAAAGAAAUCUCCAUAAAUUAUGCAUGUACUAAUGAAUUAUGGGAUUGAAAUGAAGUAAUCAUCAACGAUAUGUUCGCUUUCGCAGUAGCCACUAAAAUCAUAUUAAGCGAUGACAUUGAGCCCCGCUCUGUUGAUGAAUGCAAACAGAGACAUGAUUGGCCUAAAUGGAAAGAUGCAAUCCAAGCAGAAUUAAAUUCAUUGGAAAGGCGAAGUGUUUUUGGACCAGUAGUCCAAACCCCGCCUGGUGUGAACCCCGUAUGUUACAAAUGGGUAUUCACAAGGAAACGCAACGAGAAAAACGAGAUUGCAAGAUAUAAAGCAAGGCUCGUUGCACAAGGUUUUUCACAAAGACCUGGAAUUAAUUAUGAAAAGACAUACUCUCCUGUAAUGGACGCAAUUACGUUCCGUUACUUAAUAAGUUUAGUGGUUUCAGAGAAACUUGAUAUGCGACUUAUGGAUGUCAUUACUGCGUAUCUAUAUGGAGAAUUAGAUACUAACAUAUAUAUAAAAGUCCCAUAAGGACUUAAGUUGCAUUAAACAACUAACAAACCACGAAGUAUGUUCUCAAUCAAAUUAAGGCGAUCGUUAUAUGCGCUAAAACAAUCUGGGUGAAUGUGGUAUAAUCGUCUCAGUGAGUAUUUGAUCAAAGAAGGAUAUGCCAACAAUAUCAUAUGCCCUUGUGUGUUCAUUAAGAAAUCAAAUACUGGCUUCGUUAUAGUGGCAGUAUAUGUUGAUGAUAUAAACCUAGUUGGAACUCCUAAAGGGCUCAAUAAAACUGAUGAGUAUCUAAAAAGCGAAUUUGAAAUGAAAAACCUUGGGAAAACAAAAUAUUGUCUCGGCCUGCAGAUCGAGCAUUGUGCUAUUGAAAUUUUGGUCCAUCAAUCAGCUUACAUUGAAAAAAUACUGAAGCGAUUUGGCAUGGACAAGGCUUAUCCACUUAGCACCCCAAUGGUCAUUCGUUCUUGGGACAUUAAGAAAGAUCCUUUCCGUCCAAAAAAAAAAGAUGAUGAACUAGUCCUUGGUCCAAAAGUACCAUAUUUGAGUGCAAUAGGUGCUUUAUUGUAUUUAGCACAAUGUACUAGACCAGAUAUAGCUCUACUCCAACAAUUCGUCAUUGGAAGGGAGUCAAAGAUGUUCUACGAUACCUUCAUUCGUAGGACAACAGACAUGGGUCUUUUCUACUUAGACAAGUCCACAAUUGACCAGAUCCUUGUUGGAUACGCAGAUGCUAGUUUUCUCUCCGAUCCGCAUAAAGCCCGCUCACAAACUGGAUAUGUGUUCAUUAAUGGAGAUACAUCAAUUUCAUGGCGCUCAACGAAGCAAACAUUAGUUGCUACAUCUUCCAAUCACUUGGAAAUAAUUGUUUUACAUGAAGCAAGUCGUGAAUGUUCUUGGUUAAGAUCAAUGAUCCACCACAUCUGGAAUUCAUGUGGUCUACCUUCAAAGACAGACACUCCAACUGUUAUUCGUGAAGAUAAUGCAGUCUGUGUUGCCCAGAUGAAGGAAGGAUUCAUCAAGGGCGAUAAAACUAAACACAUAUCUCCAAGGUUUUUCAGUGCACAUGAGCUUGAGAAGGCUAAAGUUAUUGAAGUCAGACAAAUCCGUUCCAAUGAAAAUUUGGCAAACUUGUUCACCAAAUCUCUACCAAAGUGCACAUUUCAGAAGUUAGUGCAGGGAAUCGGAUUAUUUCGGCUUACAAAUUUGAAGAAUGUGGAAUCAAGGGAGAUACAAUUCAGGGGAGCAUCCAUGAUACAUGCAUGUUGUACUAUUUUUCCUUCAAUUAGGAUUUUUCCCACUGGGUUUUUCCUAUCAAGGUUUUAACGCGGCAACAUAAACAUGCUUAACACCAUAUAUCAACAAUCAGAGUAAAGUUGUACUAUUUUUCCUUCGCUAUGGUUUUUUCCCACUGGGUUUUUCCAAGCAAGGUUUUAACAAGGCAACUUGUGUUGAUAUGUGGGCAUCCAAGGGAGAGUGUUGUAAAGAGUGGGUAUGUUUGCCCACAUGUAUACAGUAAAGAUUCAUAUGUUGAAUAAUGAAGUUUUUGUAAGUUUUCAAGGUAGUUGCUCUAUAAAUGGAGCACUACGAGUGUUCAAAACACACGGAUACAAAAGCAAUAAGAGAAGAAAGAUAAGUUAGAAUAUUUUCUGCAUUCUCCUAUUUCUCUUUUACUUACAAUCAUUCUGUUAUAGUUAAUAAACAAAACAGUGUGAUAUAUUACACCCUCUUCGAUCUCGCUCUUAGCAAAGGUUAUUUAUCUAACUUUUGUCUAUUUAUAACACCACACUAUUUUUAAAACAAUAGUAUAAUCACCCACACUAUUUCUGAAAGUGAAUCAAAAUAACCUACACUAUUUCUGGAACUACAACAUAAUAAUCCACACUAUUUAUGUAUCUAUAGCAUAUAACCCACACUAUUUAUCAAAGUGAACCAAAAUAACCCACAUUAUUUCUAGAACUACAAUGCAAUAACCCACACUAUUUCUAAAAAUAAACCAAAAUAACAUAUACUAUUGCUAGAACUACAACAUAAUAUUUCACACUAUUUCUAAAACUACAGUAUAAUCACACACAUUAUUUUUAAAAGUGAACCAAAAUAACUUACAGUAUUUAUGAAACUACAACAUAAUAACCCACAAUAUUUAUGGAUCUACAGUAUAAUAACACACAUUAUUUCUGAAAGUGAAUCAAAAUAACCCACAUUAUUUCUGGAACUACAAUGUAAUAACCCACACUAUUUCUAAAGUAAACCAAAUAAUAUACACUAUUACUAGAACUACAACAUAAUAAUCCACACUAUUCUGAAACUACAGUAUAAUCACCCACACUAUUUUUGAAAGUGAACCAAAAUAACUUACAUUAUUUCUGAAACUACUGCAUAAUAACCUACACUUUUUCUAGAAUUACAACAUAAUAACCCAAAAUCUUUUUUAAAGUGAACCAAAAUAAUCUACAUUAUUUCUGAAACUACAACAUAAAAACCCACACUUUUUCUGGAAUUACUACAUAUAAACCCACACUAUUUCUGAAACUACAACAUAAUAACCACACUAUUUGUGGAAAGUGAACCAAAAUACCCAUACUAUUUUUAAAACUACAACAUAAUAACCCACACUAUUUCUGAAAUUGAUCCAAAAUAACUCACACUAUUUAUUAAAGGUAACAAAAUAAACACCAUUUAUGGAAUUAAAACUAAAUAACUCAAACUAAUUCUAGUUUUGAACAAAAAAUAACGCACACUAUUUCUGGAACUAUAGCAAAAUUAUACAUUAUUUAUGAAACUGAAAAAAAACACACUUUCUCAUGGUUAUAAAAGAUGUUAGGUGCUAAUCAGGUGACAAAAUGAGGUUUAGGAGGAUUAGGCAGAUGUAAAGUAAACUUAUUAUCUAUCUUUGGUGCCUUGGUAAUUUUCAUAGAAUAAGAUGAAAGUUUAAAUAAUUACAACUCCGUAAUACUUUACAAAAUAUUUUUCAGAAAUCAUAUGAAUUUAUUGUAAAUUUAAAACAAAAUAAAGUGUAAAACAUGUAACAAAAAAAAAGCAUUUGAAUGUGACAAAAAAAAAAAAGCAUUUCAACAACAAUUUUAAAAAAAAUUAAAUAAAAAAUGGAGGGAGCACUGAGAUGCGACGCCUGGAGGGAGGUGGGGCCCCACACCAUUUCUUAAGCAUGUUGGGAUGCUAGCUGUUCAAAUUACAUUGGAAAGCGAAUUACUAAAACAUUAAAUAUGAAAGAGUGAUAGCAAAUGGUAGACCUGGCAGUUUUUGACACGACACGGUGACACGACACGAAAACGACACGAAAAUAACGGGUUUCGGGUCAACACGAUAACUUAUCGGGUCACUAUCGGGUGACCCGUUAAGAACCCGUUAAUAACGGGUUCUUAACAGGUAUACACGUGGGUAACACGUGGGUAACCCGUUUCGACCCGUUAAGAAAAAAAAUAUUUUAAUCAUUUUAAAGUUUAAUUACUAAAAGAUUUAUUAUAAAAUACAAUAAUCAUAUUAAUAUAUACAAUAUAUUCUAUAUUAAAUAUAUAGUUUUGUAUUAUUGUUCUAUAUAAAUUAUAAAAAAAUAAAAAAAGUUUUAGUCAUUAUUUAUUUUUAUUAUGAGAGUUCCUUAUUAUUAUUACUAGGAUAAAUUUUACAUAACAUAUUCUUGUCCAAAAUUAAAAUAUACUAGUAUAGUAUUUGUAUAUGCAAGAAUUAAGAAGACAUACAUACAAGUAUGAAAAAUAUGAAAGAAUAUAUAAACACUCGUGAUUUAUCAUUAUUCCUUCACGAAU
rnacentral:lncRNA from 1 species